UGCUGUACAGGACGGAGCCUUAACAGCCGCCUGCUGUUUUCGUGUGGAAGUUUGGGUCUUGCGCAAUGAUUCCCCGUGAACCGUGUCAGAUUGGGAACAAAGCAGCACUAAGCGGGCCCUAUCAUGUGCCGCAAGGGUGCCUGGCGGAGCCGGAAGCGCAGUAACGUGUUAAGGUUCCGUCGUGUACAGC
rnacentral:SRP_RNA from 1 species